GGUGCUAUAGUGUAGCGGUUAUCACUCGGGAUUUUGAAACUGUAUGUCGUUGUCUUCCCGGAACCCAGGUUCGAACCCUGGUAGCACCU